UGUGAACUCGAAGAGUAGGGCGGGACACGUGGUAUCCUGUCUGAAUAUGGGGGGACCAUCCUCCAAGGCUAAAUACUCCUGACUGACCGAUAGUGAACCAGUACCGUGAGGGAAAGGCGAAAAGAACCCCGGCGAGGGGAGUGAAAAAGAACCUGAAACCGUGUACGUACAAGCAGUAGGAGCCCACUGGUUGGGUGACUGCGUACCUUUUGUAUAAUGGGUCAGCGACUUAUAUUCUGUAGCAAGGUUAACCGUAUAGGGGAGCCGCAGGGAAACCGAGUCUUAACUGGGCGUUAAGUUGCAGGGUAUAGACCCGAAACCCGGUGAUCUAGCCAUGGGCAGGUUGAAGGUUGGGUAACACUAACUGGAGGACCGAACCGACUAAUGUUGAAAAAUUAGCGGAUGACUUGUGGCUGGGGGUGAAAGGCCAAUCAAACCGGGAGAUAGCUGGUUCUCCCCGAAAGCUAUUUAGGUAGCGCCUCGUGAACUCAUCUUCGGGGGUAGAGCACUGUUUCGGCUAGGGGGUCAUCCCGACUUACCAACCCGAUGCAAACUACGAAUACCGAAGAAUGUUAUCACGGGAGACACACGGCGGGUGCUAACGUCCGUCGUGAAGAGGGAAACAACCCAGACCGCCAGCUAAGGUCCCAAAGUCAUGGUUAAGUGGGAAACGAUGUGGGAAGGCCCAGACAGCCAGGAUGUUGGCUUAGAAGCAGCCAUCAUUUAAAGAAAGCGUAAUAGCUCACUGGUCGAGUCGGCCUGCGCGGAAGAUGUAACGGGGCUAAACCAUGCACCGAAGCUGCGGCAGCGACACUAUGUGUUGUUGGGUAGGGGAGCGUUCUGUAAGCCGUUGAAGGUGGCCUGUGAGGGUUGCUGGAGGUAUCAGAAGUGCGAAUGCUGACAUAAGUAACGAUAAUGCGGGUGAAAAACCCGCACGCCGGAAGACCAAGGGUUCCUGUCCAACGUUAAUCGGGGCAGGGUGAGUCGACCCCUAAGGCGAGGCCGAAAGGCGUAGUCGAUGGGAAACAGGUUAAUAUUCCUGUACUCGGUGUUACUGCGAAGGGGGGACGGAGAAGGCUAUGUUGGCCGGGCGACGGUUGUCCCGGUUUAAGCAUGUAGGCGGAUGUUCCAGGUAAAUCCGGAACGU
rnacentral:rRNA from 1 species